GAUGAACGCUGGCGGCGUGCUUAACACAUGCAAGUCGAACGAAGCACCUCUCCCGAAGAUUGACACAGCUUGCUGUAGAUUGAUUCAUUUGAGGUGACUGAGUGGCGGACGGGUGAGUAACGCGUGGGUAACCUGCCUCAUAGAGGGGGACAACAGUUGGAAACGACUGCUAAUACCGCAUAGUAAGAAGAAUUCGCAUGUUUUCUUCUUGAAAGAUUUAUCGCUAUGAGAUGGACCCGCGUCUGAUUAGCUAGUUGGUAAGGUAACGGCUUACCAAGGCGACGAUCAGUAGCCGGCUUGAGAGAGUGAACGGCCACAUUGGGACUGAGACACGGCCCAAACUCCUACGGGAGGCAGCAGUGGGGAAUAUUGCACAAUGGGGGAAACCCUGAUGCAGCGACGCCGCGUGAGUGAAGAAGUAUUUCGGUAUGCAAAGCUCUAUCAGCAGGGAAGAUAAUGACGGUACCUGACUAAGAAGCCCCGGCUAACUACGUG
rnacentral:rRNA from 1 species